rnacentral:rRNA from 1 species
AUGGAUUUAAACCCAUCGGUGACGUGCUGGAAUGUCCGAGGCUUGAACAAUCAAGCGAAGAGGCAAGCGGUCAAAGAUUUUCUAGUCUCGGUGCGGCCUAACUUAGUGUGCUUACAAGAAACUAAGCUUGAUGUAGUGGAUAAUUUUCUCAUAAUGCAAUGUUGUGGGCCGUCCUUAGACGGUUUUGCUUAUUUGUCGGCGGUUGACACGAGAGGCGGGAUCAUAUUAGCCUGGGAUACCACCGUGAUGAUUGUUGAUAACAUCACGCGCGACAUAAACUCCCUCACCGGCUUGGUGCACCCAAAGUCAGGGGACGAUUGGUGGAUCACCGUGGUCUAUGGGCCACAAGGAGAUGACCUCAAGACUCUAUUCCCUGAGGAGCUGAAUGUGAGGAGAGCGGCAUGCCCGGGGCCGUGGAUGGUCCUGGGUGACUUCAACUUGAUCCUUCGAGCCUCGGAGAAAAAUAACAUGAAUCUAAAUCGGGCCAUGAUGAAUAAGUUCAGAAGUUUCGUUGAUAAUAACGAGCUGAAAGAGCUCUACAUGCAUGGACGUCGUUUCACAUGGUCAAACGAGAGAGAUGCCCCGACCAUGACCAAAAUAGACAGGAUCCUCGUUUCAGUGGAUUGGGAACUGGCGCGCCCAGAUUAUCUACUGCAGGCGCUCUCGACAAGUGUCUCUGAUCAUGCUCCGCUACACUUAUCGACCAACGCAACCUACUGGCCGAAAAAAGGUUUCGUUUUCAGAGCUUCUGGGUUAAGCUAG